GACGAACGCUGGCGGCGUGCCUAAUUCAUGCAAGUCGAGCGCAGGAAACUGACGGAACUCUUCGGAGGGAAGGCAGUAGAAUGAGCGGCGGACGGGUGAGUAACACGUAAGGAACCUGCCUCAAGGAUUGGGAUAACUCCGAGAAAUCGGAGCUAAUACCGGAUGGUUCAACGGACCGCAUGGUCCGCUGAUGAAAGGCGCUCCGGCGUCACCUUGAGAUGGCCUUGCGGUGCAUUAGCUAGUUGGUGGGGUAACGGCCCACCAAGGCGACGAUGCAUAGCCGACCUGAGAGGGUGAUCGGCCACACUGGGACUGAGACACGGCCCAGACUCCUACGGGAGGCAGCAGUAGGGAAUCUUCCACAAUGGACGAAAGUCUGAUGGAGCAACGCCGCGUGAGUGAUGAAGGUUUUCGGAUCGUAAAACUCUGUUGUAAGGGAAGAACACGUACGAGAGGAAAUGCUCGUACCUUGACGGUACCUUACGAGAAAGCCACGGCUAACUACGUGCCAGCCGCCGCAGUAAAAC
rnacentral:rRNA from 1 species